AGAUGGGGGGGGGAGAGAGAGAGAGAGAGAGAGAGAGAGAGAGAGAGAGAUAUGAAUGAGAGAACAAGGCAGAAAACCAACCAUUUUAUCCUAUCAGCCUCUAUCUACUGCAAAGGCCUCUGGGUGUUUGGCAGAGUACAUGGUGAUUGGGGAUGCCUAUUAAUUUAUUUCAGGGUCUUUUAUUUCUCUCCUUCCUUCCUCUCUAGCUCUGUCUGUAUUCUUUACUUUCCUUUUCUUUCUCCCUCCCUCUCUCUCUUUUUCUUUUUCUCUUUCUUUCUCUCUCUCU
rnacentral:miRNA from 1 species